ACAAACUUACAACAGAAAGACACCAGACUAGAGAAAUCUCCACCAUCAAUACCAUAUAGCAUUCAAACACUGAGCAGGAAAAACACUGGGGAUAUGUGUUUGCUUUGCAUCCUACAUGUGGACACCAUCAGACACGAUUAUUGACCAAGGAAAAGAAAAGCGUCUCUUUUUUUGUACUAGGACUUGAUGUUAGAUAUUUUAAAAUAAAUUAUAAUAAGCUUGUAAAAAAAAAAAAGUACAAAGAACAAAAGGUGUUAACAUCUUGUCAUAGUUGCCUCUGAUCUUGCAAAGAGUGGAUGCCCCUUUGGGACCCCUUUCUCUUCCAUUUUCUUUUGAAGUUGAUAGUCAUCCUUCCUGUUAACAAUACACUUUUACUUCAUAUGUGUAUUUCUUUACCCACAUCUUUUACUUAUGGAAUUCUUCAUGAAUUAUUAAGUUUUUAAACGUAAGUUAUUUAUACAUUCUAAAUAUUAAUCCUUUGUUAAGCACAUGCUUUGGAAAUAUCAUCUCACUUUAUCAUUUAGUGUUUUAUGAUGUCUUUUGUUUUAAAUUUUUAAUCUAAUGCAAUUUAUCAUUUCCUCUGUGGGUUGUGUAAUUUAAUGUUUUGUUUAAGAAAUCCUUCCCUAUUCCAAAGUUUUGAAGAAAUUCUUCUUUAUUUUCCUUCAAUAUUUUUUAAAGUUUUUUUUUUCUUAUUUAGGUGUUCAAUCUGUAAAAAAUUUAAUUCAUAUGUGGAGAAAGGUAGGAACCUAACUUUAUGUUUUUCCUUAUGAAUGUUUGCUUUUUAAAUCAGAAAAUAAAGGAUUAAUCACUCCUUACACUCUAUAAACUCCUUAACAGACACUAUAAUCUAUACCCACCUUAUCAAUAUACUGCUUCAAAGUACUUAACACUACUUGUACUCAACAUAUAUUUGUUGGUGAAGGAGAAUUUUUCCAGUCCCCAUUAAUGAGAAUAAAUGCCAAAUUGUCCAUCUAAAAUAAUCUGAGUGGUGCUUAAUUUAUUCUCUCUGAGCAGGAAGUAACUUCUUAACAGGGUUAACAUGGCGUAACUACUGAAUUACUCCAAUUAAACCCAGGGUUAGUAAUGACUUCUCUAACUUUGCCCAUCUUUAGAGAGCUUUUGGGGGGUGGGUAAGGGAGGGAAUCUACCUAUUAAUCAAAUUAGACUCAUAUAUUUAUUCAUCUACCAGGAGAAAUGCACAAAAAAGACAUUUUAGCCUACUUCUGUAAAUCAACUAUUUGAAUCAGAGGAAUAUCUGUACCAAAUUCAAUUUGGCAAACAUUGUGAGAGUACCAACUUACAGAUUCAGGCCUAGUUGCAUUGGUUUAAUUCUUGUCAAAAACCUGCUUAUUUUCUCCUUUUUAUAAAUAGUCUGAAAGUAAAUUACACUUAAAACUCAAUUUUGAUCAAGGGAAUGGAUGGAAACCAAGAUAGAUAAUUUUUUUUUUUAAUUCUAAGAUUCUUUCUCUCAUGCUUUUGAAAAGGAGUCUCCCUUACAAAACUUUUAUCUUUUCCAAUAAUUCAAGGAACUUUACAGUGACAAAAAAGAAAAAAACACAUCUUGUUUUGGAGGACUGGUUCUAAAAAUGAGGAUGUAAAACUGACCAGAAAAAGUGAGACUGCAUUGGUAGAUGUAAAUAGAGUACAUGAAAUACAGUUUGGAAGAAAAAUAAUUUUAUUUUCAAACUUUGCUUAUAGAAUAACCUUUUUUUUUUUUUUUGUUGUUGUUGUUUUUCUUGCUAUGACUAGAAAAGGUACUGAGUUGGCCAAUGAUGUCAUUGCUUCCCUUCAUUUGAAAUAACUUCUGUGAGCAGGUUUUCUAAAAGAACCCUGGGGAAUCCUGCCCAGCUAAAGAAAACGAGUCUCUAUUGCUCAGAUUCAGCAGAGUCAAGAAAUACCACCUUCUGUUUCAUCUUUAAGGUAGUAAUGUAUGCCCUAUUGUUUUAUUGUACGUCACUUAGGGACCCUGAACUUCAAAACCGUGCUGCAUCUAAGAAAAUUAUCACAGAACCACAAUCUUGGGACACUGUGUAUUCAGAAGUAUCAGGUUGGUUGGUUUGCUUGCUUGUUUUAAGAUUCAUUCUUUUUCUUAAAAAGAUAAAGUUAACCAUGGGUGUAAAAGGAAAAAGUAACCUUAAAGAAAGCUUGUUCUUAAAAAACCUAACCAUCUUAGUGCUCGGGAAUUCCCUGUGUUCAAAAGAAAACAAGGAAAAAAAAUAUUAACAUUGCUAUCUUCUUUGCAAGCUUCUUUUAAAAUCGUCAUUGGAAGUCCCCUGGGAAAAUGAAAUUCACAUUUCUUACCUAUUCAAAAUCAUGCCGUGCCCAUGAACUACUGCCAAAGCCAAAGGAAAACGGGGGGGGGGCGAUGAAAGUGCGUUAACUUCUUAAUAAAAUCUGUGCGGGGGACGCUCGGCUGGUGGGACCCGGCCGCGCGAGUCGGGGAGCAGCCGGGUGGGUGAUGCAGGACGCCAGGCAAGGUCCCUGCUGCGGCAGCCAGGCGCAGGGCUCCUCGGAGGAGGUUGGUGCGGUCUGAAAUAACAGUUUUCUUUACCAAAUCAACUCGCUACCUAGGCCCACCAUCCCUGGCACCUCCUCCUGCUCCUCCCGCAGACAAUAACCUAAAAGUGAGACGGGAGGCUUGCGGGGGGGCGGUGCAAGCCCAGAAAGGGAACUGAGAAGAAAAGCGCCAGUGACAAGACACAAAAUGGAGAAAGAGGAACCGAGAGGGCAAAGAAACCAGGGAAGAGCCAGGAAAAGAGGUCAUUAAUAAGAACGGUAGAGGGGCUGUGGGGUGGAGAACGCCAGAAGGACUGCGCAGGAGGGAGCCGUUAGAGGACUGGGAGAGAAAAGCGACCAAGUAAGACGCAGAGGCGGAACAGACAAGAAAGACGUUCUAGAUGUCGAGGCUCCAUUUUCAGCAGCGCCAUAUUCGCUUUUCCUUUCGCCGCUUUUUGUUUGGUUUUGUUUGCCGGCGGUGGACAGGCGCCAGCGCGUUUCUGCAGCCUCAGCAGCUUCGGUCCGACAGAUGGGGAGGGUUGGAGGGCCCGGGCGGGGACGAGCGCCUUCGCCCGGACCCCGGCGCGGCCCCCUCCCCGGCCCAGCCACUUGUGUGCACCGCCCACCCGGCUGCCCUCGGCUGCGAGCCGGCCUCCACCUCGGCCCGGGCGGAGGAAGCGCCUCGCCGGGACCCGCGGCAGCACCCGGGGAGCCCAUGCCCUCUAGUUUCUCCCGGUGCUGGAGGGCGCGCGUGCCCAGGCGGUGGGUAACAGAGGAGCGUCGAAGAAAGAAACCGAAAAAGAGCAACUAAACCCGUUGGGAGGAGGAGAGGGCGCACUCUGGGGGAGAGCCGGCUGGGACGCCCGAAAAUAGAGUCUUUCUGGAGGUUACCCCGGAGUCAGGGCCUGGAUCUGGCCGGGUUCGGGCGGCCCGUGGGGCCACUUCCACCUGCGCGGGGGCUCGAUGGAAGCUGGGCUGCCCUGAGCGGAGCCUGGCCCCGGCCACCAGGCCUCUCCCUGCUGCAGGAAGAACGUCCACGGUCGGCCGUCGGCCGGCCGGGAGCCCCAGGCAGGGUCGGGAGGGAAAAACUAACCACUGCAGGCCUCGGGGGGCGCCGGUCCAUGGAGUGGCAGGAACUUCGUGGUGCCCUCCGCAGGGAUUUCAGGUGAAAUCGGUGCCUCGAAACUCCUUGGGGUUAAGUAUUGGGACAAUUGGCGGCAGUCCGCAGCUUGGAAAGCCAGGUCCUCUAGCCCCGACCUCACUCAGAUGGUUUCCGUGGAAUCGUAUCUGGGUUCAUAGAAAAAUGCCCAGUACGCCCCAAGUACAUUUCCUUCUUACGCCUCCACUUUUUUCUUAACUUGCACUUGACCUCACCCUUCGCUCAAAGUUCUGAAUUCGCCCGCGAUAGGAAAGAGCUUGGGUUCUCGGCGUCCCCAUCCCGCCGCUGGGGCUGCCGGGGAGCAGGCGGUCGACGAGACCCGCAGGUCGGGAGGCAGGGAGGCUGGAGCCCUCGCCGUUGGGUUUCGCGCAAGUGCCACCUGCCAGGACAGCCGGUGCACUCUAUCUCCUGGCCUUCCUUUCUUCGCCCUGCGGAAUUGAGGGUAGCUUGAGGCUGAAAUUGACAGCUUCUUUAGGCGGGUGGAGUGGAGCGUGUCAGUGAAACGGCUCGGGAUCACCGCAUGGUAACCGAACCCCACAAUGUGCCGCAAAGGAAAAGUUUUCACGCUAGUGUUUGCACGGCUCCCCAAGUCCCCUGUUCCUGGCCAUUUCUAACAAUACAAUCCUGUGCAUGUCACUGGCACCGGAGUGCGUGUUCGGUCACCUUAGACUCAGGAAUCUACUUGGCACCCUCGAAGCUACCCCACCCCCCACCCGCUCCUGGAACCCAGAGGCUCCUUAAGCCACAGAGGGCUCGUCCCCACCUGCGGCCCGGCUUUGGAUGUAGUAACUGUUAUUUUUUUACUACGUCUUUAUUAAUCCGCCUUUGAAUUUUGAAAUGGCAUUCAUAUAUCUGUUUUCCCAGACUACAGAUUUCCACAAGGAAAAUAUCUUUCCCAGGCAGCAAAAAAUCAGAUUCCUUUUAUCUUCUAUUUAAAAAUUCAGGUUGCAGUUUACUUAAAAAUAGAACCGUUUUCCCUAAGAGAAAGUUCAGUGACUAAAUUCAAACAAUAGUGUUGACACCUUUCUUCUGUGUUUUUGUGAAAGACUAAAAUCAAAUUUUAAAGAUGUAAUAGCCAUGUGAUGGCUUUACAAGAGACCACAAAAUUAAAAACUAAAAACAUUGACAACUUUCUAGGCCUACUUUACAAAAACAUUAUACCUUCUGUUUCUGAGAAAGAAAGAAAAGGCUAUAGGGGAUUUGGGGAAUUAAAGUAUUCAUGGCGGUCUAUUCAUGGACUAGACGUCAUCAUUCACAAUAGAUGAGAUUUUAAACUGGGCAUUGCCCAUAGGUCUCAUACUUAUAUUGUUUCUUGGACGUUCUUACUAGUCUUUUGUUCUGCCUUCUUAUGUAGAAAAGUUUUAUGGUUAGCUCUCCAGGUUUCCUUUAGUUUAAUCAGGAUUUAAAAACAAUUUAUAAACCCGCCAUUUAGGAAAGGAUAUUUUAUGGUAGCCAAAUACAUAAGUACAUUAUGCCUAAAAUAAGUUCUCAUCUAUCAAGGACUUGCUGCUUGUGAAAUAAAGGUUGGAAAUUUGUUCUUGGUAGGUGUUCUAUCUACUCUUAUCUAGUCAUUGAAUACAACUGAUUAGGGUUUGAAGGCCCACUUUUUUUUUUCCUAAAUCAUUGCAAAGUGUCUGUUAAACUCAUUUAUUAAACUCUUAAGAGAAACUUAGGAUUCUUUUCAUGAGGCAAUAUACUGAUCAAUGUACAACAAAUAUCAUGUUAAUGUAGGACACAUGUAAUGCUCAUGAGAUAAAUAUUGCUCAUAUGCAAUUCAAGAAGAAAUCAUCUCUAUUUGAUAGAUUUACCAUAUAAAAAAGGCAUAUUACUACCGUCAGAAUUAAGAGAAGCAAAAUUUUAAGUGAGCUCUAAAGUUAUAUUCAAAAUUUAUUUUGAAAAAUAGGUAAUACAAAUUACCUUUAGAAAAAAAUUUUGAUCAGAUACUUCUUAGAAAUGCAAAAAAAAAAAAAAAAAACCCACACAUACAAAAUCACAAAAGUCCAGCAUAUGAUAGUCAAUUUAUGGAUCAUUCAAUUUUAUAAAUCUAUGUUAAUUUUUAGCAUUAUCUAUUGGUCUACAAGUCAUUCAAAAAUUUAAAAUUAGUAAUGUCUUAAAUACUUGUAAAGCAUUUUUUUUAUGUUUGUAACUCCUUGUUUUGUUACAUCACAAGCCAUAAUUGCUUCAAUUCAUUGGAAUAUGUUAUACUAAGUGUAUUUUAAAUGAUCCUUAUUUGUAUUAUGAAUACACCAAAUUUCAAAUAUCUGCUUUUUUACAUUUUUCAAGUACAUUUUCUUAAAUUCCAGAAGGAUGAUAUAUUAACACACAGACUACAUUCAAGUAUUUCAUUCUAAUAGAACCUAAAUGUAAUGCCUACAAUAAGAUAUGUACAAUCAUAGGAAUUAGCAAAGAAAAUAGCUUCAUUUCAUCAUAAUUCUAUUGGCAUUUUAAGAAUAUUUCUUUUUUAUACCUAAAUGUUAAAAACUAAUAGUUUAUAUUCUUCAGUAGCCUCUUCCCAAUCCAUCACUUUAUUGAAUAAUUCAAUUAUGUCUACUUGACACCAAACACUUAAUGAAAUGAGGUAUCUCCAUUUUCCUUUGUAAUACUCCAUGCUCUUUCUGGAUUGUUUUAUGAGAAGUCAAUAUAGUUCAGAGAUGUUAACAGUUUUUAAUUUUAAAUUAGGAUAAACACUUGCAUUCAUUUAUCAAAUAUAUAAAAUUUAUUGAGGUCCUAGGUCACUGGCAAUGAAUGUAUUGAAAAUAAAUAUUGAUAUAUAAAAAUGUCAAGGUUACACACUUUAUAUUAACUGGGAAUUUAGAAGUACUUUUCUUUAAAAUGUUUUUAAAUAUCACCUCUUGCUUCAGGAGAGCUAAAAAUGACACUAAACAUCCUACACAAAGUGUGGGUAGCAGUGCUGGUGAUGAUUUUGGAGGUGAUUGAGGGGAGGUAUGAAGAUAAUUAUAAAGCUUUUUUUAUCUGUUUAAAAACAUUUUUUGUGUAUGUUUUUUCAGCUAAAUAUUUGGCAAUAUAGUCAAUCAAUGUCUCAGGCAAUUUCUUAGGUACUCAAGACCUAAAAAUAAAAGAGUGAAAGAACAUCGACUAGCUAAAAUACUAGAGUUUUUAUGUCACAAAAAUAACUAUCUAUAUGCCAUUAAUGGUAUUAAUGAAAAAUAAACAAAGAAUUACAGAAAAAUUACAUGAUUGUGUUGCUAAAUAAAGAAGGAUUGCUACAAUAAAUGCAAUAUUUUAUUAAAAAAAAAACCAAAACUCAGUAAUCUUUUACAGUGGUUUUCACAUAAUGUUUUUACAUGUUGUUUUAAAUUCUGUUUAUUAUAGCACAAGAGUUCUGAAUUGAGUUGUUUUUAAACAUAUAGACUACCCAGCUGACUUUCUACACUAGGAAUAAAAAGAAACAAGUGGAAUUCUUGGUUAUUAACAAGGGUUUAAACAAUGAUAACAGAAUUUCAUAAAUCAAUUAUAUGCUCCAUUUGAAGAUUAUAAAGCAUAAUUAACUUACUUGACACCAAUACAGUGUUUUGUUUCUUCACAGAAUGUACCAUGAGCUGUUUUCAAUUAUUGCCACUGAAAUGUUGUCCUUCAAAAUUAACAAAUGAAUGAAGCGUUUGCAUACUGCACAGAGGACAACCUAGAGUGAAGUUUUCUAAUUAUCUUGUAAUUAAAUUUUGUUUACUUGCAAAAUUUGUUCUCCACUGAGAAACAAGUGUUACCUAUCUUUAAAAAAGAAAAACUAAACAACUUUGUGGGGGGAAAAAACCCUAAGGUGUUACAGUAUCUUUAUGAAUGAUAUGAGAUAAAAUUAAUUAUUUGAAAUGACAUCUAAAAAUUGGAUUUUAAUUCUUAAUUUAGGAUAUUGAGCAUAAAAUAUUGUAGUUUUAUUGUAAAUUUUACUGGGCCAUUCUUUACAAAAACACAGAAAAACAGAAAUACCUAGAUAAUAAAACAUUUUUCAGUUAUAUAAAAUAUAGGAGAGUCUUAGGGAUGGGAAGGGGACCCAGAAAUAGAAAAGUAGCUAUUUGCCAAAUAUUUCCAUCACCAAUUUACUGAUGUCUUCAACAUUUUUAUAGUUCAAAAUUUUGAAGCCGAAUGUGGUGGCUUAUGCUAUAAAUCCAGCUAUUCAGGAGGCUGAGGCAGGAAGACCACAAGUUCAAGGUCGGCUUCAGCAACUUAGCAAGGCCCAAACAACUUAGUGAGACCCUGUCCCAAAACAAAAAAUAAAAAGGGCUGGGGAUGUGGCUCAGUGGUGAAAUGUCAUUGAGUUCUAUCUCUGGUACAAAAAAAAAAGUUGAAUCUAAGGAAAAUCUAAAUCUAAAUGCUACUGGGAAAACUAACAUCCUAAGCUAUUCUGUUAUCAAUUAUUUACACCUUUAAAUUAGUGCCUUAACAAAUGUUGGUGAAAGGAAGAGAAAGUUUCAGAAUGCUGAGUAAUUAACAUGAAUCAGAGAAGUUGAAGAAGUGGGAGGGGACAGAGGAAAAGAGGAUUGUUCAGCAACAGAUAAACAUUUUAGUUCACACUUUUCUUUUUCCUGGUCAAAAUUAAUUACCUAGGGGCUGAGGUUGUGGCUCAGUGGUAGAAUGCUUGCCUAACAUAUGUGAGGCACUGAAUUCGAUCCUCAGCACCACAUAAAAAUAAAUAAAAUAAAGGUAUUAUGUCUAUCUAUAACUAAAAUUUUUUUAAAAAAAUUAAGUAACACUCCAUUAACAUUUAAUGACCUACAGUCCACUUCAUUUUAUACUAUUCUUUAUAUAUGAACAAUUAAACUAUAAGUGCAAGUUAAUGGGAGAAAAUAAAUUAAUUAGAGAUUUUAAGUACACAACCUGAAUGUAAAAUAAUCAGUUCAUUAAAAUCAUGUCUAUAAAAUAGAAAAUGAGCUGUUAGUUUUGUUAUGAUGUACUUGACAACCAGUUAACUUCUCUGUCUAUAUUAAUCAUACUAACCAAAUAUUGCUAAAUAUCAGCUUUACUAUGAACUGUGUUAAUACAUAUCACAAGUAGAUACAAUCUCUUAAAACAUUUCAUAGUAGAUUCUAGGGUGUUUUCUCCUAUUGGUUAUAUUAGCAACAAAUUUCCACAAUGUAUAGAAAUUAGAACAUUUAUCAAUUCAAAAUAAACUACUAAAAUAGCCAAACAAUCAUGUAAUGGUUCAGUUACUUCAAACAUAAACCAGACUCAGAUUCCUCUGCCAUAAAGAACUGGUCAUUCAAGAUUCUAUCCUAAAAACAAUAUUUACCCUUUUCAGGCUAACUCCAAACAAAUUAAAACUAAUGGAUCACCAACAAUUUAGUUAACUUCACAAUUUAAGUGAAAAAUGAAUUGGUAAAAAUGCUAAUGACCUAAGUGUGAAAUUUAUGGGUGUUCCUAACUCUUAACUAUUAAACAAAUACUAAUCAUUAAAUUAGGCAAAACCAAUAUACAUAUUAUAUAUGUGUGUGUAUAUGCAUAUAUAAUUUCGAGUUAAUUUAUCAUCUAUAAUUGAUUAUUCCUCUUUGCAAUUCAGUAGCUUAUCAGUGAUCAAAGAUGUGUUUCAACAGAUUAAUUCUUUAAACAACUGGAAACCAUUUCUCAAUGGCACAGCAUUUCUUAAUGUUAAUCCAAGAGGCAUGGAGACACUGCUGAUUUUGGAAGGUGAUUUGUCAAUACAUUGACAUCUAAAGGAAUGGUUUAGUUUGUGCUCUAGGCUCAGUGAAGGAGAUACACUCUUCAGUAGGUUCAGGCAUUUGAGGAUUCCAAACCAUUUCCUAGCUGGUUUUUAUCUGCUCCCUGAGUGCAGUUUUGAGAACCUAUAAGCUUCUUCUCUCCUCUCUGACUUGAUCUGGGUUUCUUAUUUUGUGAUUGCAGACUAAAUUUUUUCUCCCAUAUUCCUAACUUUGAAUUUACAAAUAAACUUAUCUCCUGAAUUGAGAUGUCUGUCUGGUUUUGAAAAGAUGUUUACCU
rnacentral:lncRNA from 1 species